UAUGUUACAGUCCUGUUGGUUUGCUACAAUAAAGUGUCCGGAAGAUAAGUGUUACCUUGGUUACGUUGUAACCGUCUUCUAGGCCCGGUGUGGCUGCAGUGCCAUAAACCUCCGGGGAGCCCAUACAACGAUUUUCUUGCUAUGUGAAAGCAACCGAUUUGUCUAAAAAUGGGUGACAUUUUGGCAUACGAGGCCGAUUUACUUGGAUUAGUAAAAGAAUUUCUUAAUUACGGAGAAUUCCAUGAGACCCUCAAAAGCUUUUCAAAGGAGUGUAAGGUUAAAGGAAAACCAAUUCCCAGAAGUGAUGGCUCUGUCACAAGGGAUUCAAGGACUUUACUUAUACAG